UAGCAGUGUUGGGGCACUAAGAAUUUUGAUUUCUUAAGAGAGGUUCAGUACCUCCUGA
rnacentral:tRNA from 2 species